GCUGUACAUGAUGACAACUUGGCUCCCUCUACUGAUAAUAAUGAAGAGAACAGCCAUGUCACCCAACAUAUCUGAGCGUACAGC
rnacentral:snoRNA from 15 species